CGCUGAGCAGGACGCGCGGAGCCAUGCCGGGCUGGAAGAGGAACAUCCCCAUCUGCCUGCAAGCCGAGCAGGAGCGGGGCUUGGGUCUUCCACUGUCAGCUGAACCUCUGAAUCCCACCUACUUCCAUCCUAUUUGGUGUGGUACCCUAUACCUUCUAUGUUCUGCAGGUAUGCACCUUAAGAAAAUAUUUUCAUGUUUUAAUGUGAGAACUUCAUUCCACAUAUCUGCCGGGUAUUUUUGUUUUAGUGAGCUGUG
rnacentral:lncRNA from 1 species